rnacentral:rRNA from 1 species
GCUAAGGUAGCAUAAUCAUUUGUCAUUUAAUUGGUAACUGGAAUGAAAGGUUAAACUAGCUUAACGGGUUUGUGUAACUAGAUAAAAGCUUAAAGUUAAGGUAAGAAUUCUUUAAUUUUUUAGGGGACGAUAAGACCCUAGAAGCUUAACAAAAGGGUGUUUAGUUAGUUUUAAAGGUUUGUUUGUUUUACUGGGGUGGUAAAAGUAAUUAAGCUAUUUAAUACUCAAAAGAUCCUUAAAAUCAAGAGAGAGUGGGAAAGUUACUCUAGGGGUAA